rnacentral:rRNA from 1 species
CCUACGGGAGGCAGCAGUAAGGAAUAUUGGUCAAUGGACGAAAGUCUGAACCAGCCAUGCCGCGUGGAGGAUGAAGGUCCUCUGGAUUGUAAACUUCUUUUAUAUGGGACGAAAAAAGGGUUUUCUAACUCGUCUGACGGUACCAUAUGAAUAAGCACCGGCUAACUCCGUGCCAGCAGCCGCGGUAAUACGGAGGGUGCAAGCGUUAUCCGGAUUCACUGGUUUAAAGGGUGCGUAGGUGGGUUGGUAAGUCAGUGGUGAAAUCUCCGAGCUUAACUUGGAAACUGCCAUUGAUACUAUCAGUCUUGAAUAUUGUGGAGGUCAGCGGAAUAUGUCAUGUAGCGGUGAAAUGCUUAGAUAUGACAUAGAACACCAAUUUGCGAAGGCAGCUGGCUACACAUCUAUUGACACUGAGGCACGAAAGCGUGGGGAUCAAACAGGAUUAGAUACCCUGGUAGUCCACGCCCUAAACUAUGGAUACUCGACAUUUGCGAUACACUGUAAGUGUCUGAGCGAAAGCAUUAAGUAUCCCACCUGGGAAGUACGAUCGCAAGAUUGAAACUCAAAGGAAUUGACGG